GACCUCUUGAACGCACAUUGCGNNCGUAGGCUUGCCUACGGCCACGUCUGGCCGAGGGUGGU
rnacentral:rRNA from 1 species